CUGGUUGAUCCUGCCAGUAGUCAUAUGCUUGUCUCAAAGAUUAAGCCAUGCAUGUACAAGUUCACACCUUUAUAUGGUGAAACCGCGAAUGGCUCAUUAAAUCAGCUAUUGUUCCUUAGAUCUUACAUUGUUACUUGGAUAACUGUAGUAAUUCUAGAGCUAAUACAUGCCAUUAUAUCCCGACCGUAAGGAACGGAUGGAUUUAUUAGAACAAAACCAACCUGGGCUUGCCCAGUUGCUUUGUUGACUCUGGAUAACUUUACUGAUCGCAUGGCCAUGUGCUAGCGACGUAUCUUUCAAGUGUCUGCCCUAUCAACUAUCGAUGGUGGGUUAUAUGCCUACCAUGGUUAUGACGGGUAACGGGGAAUCAGGGUUCGAUUCCGGAGAGGGAGCCUUAGAAAUGGCUACCACAUCUAAGGAAGGCAGCAGGCGCGCAAAUUACCCACUCUCAGCUCGAGGAGGUAGUGACGAAAAAUAACGAUGUAGGUCUCAAUUGAGACUCUACAAUUGGAAUGAGUACAAUUUAAAUCCUUUAACGAGGAACAAUUGGAGGGCAAGUCUGGUGCCAGCAGCCGCGGUAACUCCAGCUCCAAUAGCGUAUAUUAAAGUUGCUGCAGUUAAAAAGCUCGUAGUUGGAUCUCAGGUGGAGUCUGUACGGUCAGUUCUUUUACUGUACCAUCAUUCUCGCCUAAUCAGCCGUUUGUUACUAGGAGUGCUGUUUACUCAGUGCUUCAAGUACUCGGCAUGUUUACUUUGAAAAAAUUAGAGUGCUCAAAGCAGGCCUUGUGCUUGAAUAGUGUUGCAUGGAAUAAUGGAAUAGGACUUCUGUUCUAUUUUGUUGGUUUUCGGAACUGAAGUAAUGAUUAAAAGAGACAGACGGGGGCAUCUGUAUGGCGGUGUUAGAGGUGAAAUUCGAUGACCAUCGCCAGACAAUCUACUGCGAAAGCAUUUGCCAAGGAUGUUUUCAUUAAUCAAGAGCUAAAGUCAGAGGAUCGACGGCGAUCAGAUACCGCCUUAGUUCUGACCAUAAACGAUGCCAACUGACAAUCAGUGAGCAUUAUCUUUUUUCUCACUGGCAGUCCCCGGGAAACCUUUAAGCUUAUAGGUUCUGGGGGGAGUAUGGUUGCAAAUCCGAAACUUAAAGGAAUUGACGGAAGGGCACCACCAGGUGUGGAGCCUGCGGCUUAAUUUGACUCAACACGGGAAAACUCACCCGGCCCGGACACUGUGAGGAUUGACAGAUUGAUAGCUCUUUCAUGAUUCAGUGGUUGGUGGUGCAUGGCCGUUCUUAGUUGGUGGAGUGAUUUGUCAGCUUGAUUGCGGUAACGAACGAGACUCUAGCCUGCUAAAUAGACAGCACGUAUCUUUUGCGUGCUAGUCUUCUUAGAGGGAUUAGUUGAAAAGAAGCAACUCGAGAUUGAGCAAUAACAGGUCUGUGAUGCCCUUAGAUGUUCGGGGCCGCACGUGCGCUACACUGACUAUAUCAAUGAGUAUCUCCCUGAAUCGAGAGGUUUGGGAAAUCUUGUGAAUUAUAGUCAUGUCAGGGAUUGGGGCUUGUAAUUAUUCCCCAUGAACGAGGAAUACCCAGUAAGCGCAAGUCAUAAGCUUGCGUUGAUUACGUCCCUGCCCUUUGUACACACCGCCCGUCGCUACUACCGAUUGAAUGGUUUAGUGAGGCUUUUGGAUUGGGACUGAUGAAGUGGUUUACUACUACGUCUGUUCCGAGAAAACUGUCAAACUUGAUCAUUUAGAGGAAGUAAAAGUCGUAACAAGGUUUCCGUAGGUGAACCUGCAGAUGGAUCA
rnacentral:rRNA from 1 species